CGCCAGCAGAGGGAAUGGCGGAGGAUGGCAGCGCGGAAGGGCAGAAUGGCGGGACAGCAGGUCAGGGUCUGCAGGCAGAAGGAGACAUGGGAACGGGAGCCCAGCAGGGAACCGGAGCAAUAGGAGGAGGUCAGCUUCUCGGGACAGGUGGCUACGGCGCCGGCGCAGUGAGUCAGGGUCGUCUGAGAGGAUCCACACGGCGCGGAGGAGGAGAAGUAGCGAGCGGGAGGGACGAUGCAGGCAGGGAAGUGGUGAGGACGGGUCUGAUCACGGGAAUGAAGGGCGGGUGAGGCUGCAGUCGGACAGAUCACCCAGGCUGUAUUCUCCUUGCAGGUCGUUGAGUAGGACGCCCACGAGAGCAACACACGAACAGGCGGGCAGGAGUCGGCGUCCCCUGGUUCCUUCUGGGUCAGCUGUCGUGGUGGAAAAAGUGGCGCCCCCGCGGCCAGCAGCGGCCGGGGGCUUGAGCGGUGAGUCUCCAACUGCAUCACACUCGGGAAGCUUACUUGGAUGUUUAAGAUCUCUGUUAGAUUCAUGGUCUGGGGACGGGGGGUCUCCGACACAGUUUGAGAAAGUGUGGGUUGCGGAUGGCGGUCGG